rnacentral:rRNA from 1 species
GAUGAACGCUAGCUACAGGCUUAACACAUGCAAGUCGCGGGGCAGCAUGGGGGUUGCUUGCAAUCCCCGAUGGCGACCGGCGCACGGGUGAGUAACGCGUAUCCAACCUGCCCUUCACCACGGGAUAACCCGGCGAAAGUCGGACUAAUACCGUAUGUUGCCCAUUGACGGCCUCCGAUUUGGACGAAAGGCUUGUGGGGGAGGGAGGGGGAUGCGUCCGAUUAGCCAGACGGCGGGGUAACGGCCCACCGUGGCUACGAUCGGUAGGGGUUCUGAGAGGAAGGUCCCCCACACUGGAACUGAGACACGGUCCAGACUCCUACGGGAGGCAGCAGUGAGGAAUAUUGGUCAAUGGGCGUAAGCCUGAACCAGCCAAGUAGCGUGCAGGAUGACGGCCCUAUGGGUUGUAAACUGCUUUUAUGCGGGGAUAAAGUGGCCCACGUGUGGGCUUUUGCAGGUACCGCAUGAAUAAGGACCGGCUAAUUCCGUG